GAGGAUAUAGCUUAGCGGUAGAGUGCGUGCUUAGCAUGCACAAGGUCCUGUGUUCAAUCCCCAGAACCUCA
rnacentral:tRNA from 1 species